rnacentral:rRNA from 1 species
AAAUUGAAGAGUUUGAUCAUGGCUCAGAUUGAACGCUGGCGGCAGGCCUAACACAUGCAAGUCGAACGGUAGCACAGAGAGCUUGCUCUCGGGUGACGAGUGGCGGACGGGUGAGUAAUGUCUGGGAAACUGCCUGAUGGAGGGGGAUAACUACUGGAAACGGUGGCUAAUACCGCAUAACGUCGCAAGACCAAAGAGGGGGACCUUCGGGCCUCUUGCCAUCAGAUGUGCCCAGAUGGGAUUAGCUUGUUGGUGAGGUAACGGCUCACCAAGGCGACGAUCCCUAGCUGGUCUGAGAGGAUGACCAGCCACACUGGAACUGAGACACGGUCCAGACUCCUACGGGAGGCAGCAGUGGGGAAUAUUGCACAAUGGGCGCAAGCCUGAUGCAGCCAUGCCGCGUGUA